rnacentral:rRNA from 1 species
AUGUAAUGUAAUGCCUACAACGUUAAUGCAUCAGAUCCCAUUAGAACUUUGCAGCUAAGCACGCUUGGGUUAGAGUAGUACUGGGAUGGGUGACCUCCUGGGAAAUACUAGUGUUUUACAUG